AAAAAUAUAGCUCAGUUGGAAGAUCAAAGGAAUGUAAUGUUAUUAGUUAUCCUUAGGUCCCUGGUUCAAUCCCAGGUUGUCAGAUUUUUU